AUGGAGGGCCAGGGCGAAGACACGGCCACGUUGGUGCAGCCUGUGGUCCACAUCGCCGGCAAGAAGAACCACCACAAGGUCGGGGUCAUGGUGGUGCAUCCUGUGGUCUUCAUCGUCUACCACUCCGCCGUCUUCGGCAACCCCCACCACUUCUGCGUCCACAUGUCCUUCAAGGGCCGCACCGUCCUGUUCGACUGCGGCAUCCACACGGCCUACUCCGGCAUGGCGGCGCUGCCCUACUUCGACGAGAUCGACCCCUCCGCCAUCGACGUCCUCCUCGUCACCCACUUCCACUUGGACCACGCCGCCUCGCUGCCCUACUUCCUCGAGAAGACGACGUUCAAGGGCCGCGUGUUCAUGACCCACGCCACCAAGGCCAUCUACAGGCUGCUGCUCUCGGAUUACGUCAAGGUCAGCAAGGUGUCGAUAGAGGACAUGCUGUUUGACGAGCAGGACAUCAUCCGUUCCAUGGACAAGAUCGAGGUCAUAGACUUCCACCAGACACUUGAAGUUAAUGGCAUACGCUUCUGGUGCUAUACUACUGGCCAUGUACUUGGUGCUGCCAUGUUCAUGGUGGAUAUUGCCGGUGUUCGCAUUCUUUACACCGGUGACUACUCCCGUGAAGAAGACCGGCACCUGAAAGCUGCUGAGAUCCCCCAGUUCUCCCCUGAUAUUUGCAUUAUUGAGUCAACUUAUGGCGUGCAGCAACACCAACCCCGCCAUGUCAGAGAAAAGCGCUUCACUGAUGCCAUCCACAACACUGUUUCUCAAGGGGGGCGUGUUCUUAUCCCGGCAUAUGCUCUUGGUAGAGCACAGGAACUGUUGCUUAUCCUGGAUGAGUAUUGGUCUAACUACCCAGAGCUCCAUAAGAUUCCAUAUUAG
rnacentral:rRNA from 1 species